UACGUAGGGUGCGAGCGUUGUCCGGAAUUACUGGGCGUAAAGAGCUCGUAGGUGGUUUGUCGCGUUGUUCGUGAAAACUCACAGCUUAACUGUGGGCGUGCGGGCGAUACGGGCAGACUGGAGUACUGCAGGGGAGACUGGAAUUCCUGGUGUAGCGGUGGAAUGCGCAGAUAUCCGGAGGAACACCAGUGGCGAAGGCGGCGAUCUGGGCAGAUACUGACGCUGAGGUGCGAAAGCGUGGGGAGCAAACAGG
rnacentral:rRNA from 1 species